CCUCUUUCUAUUUCGAUAGUAAAAAAAAAUCCCAAACAACCCGAGGCAACUGAGGCAUAUACGACCUGUGAGUAAAAUCUUUCCUUCUUCAAUUUUUUCCUCUACUGUAUAUUUCUUACUGUUUCUUCACUUGUAUUGUUCAAUCUGCGAUUUUUCUUUUUCAUUUUUUUUUUGUUAGAAAUGGAACUCGAAAUAGCAAAAGUCCGUUCCUUUGAUGUUCUCGUUGUGUAUUCUUUGUUCAAUUUUUUGUGUUUGUGUACAUUAUUUCACAUUCUUACCAUUUUCUUUUGUCAGUUCCUUUUUCCUCUGGGUUUUAAUUGAUUGAACACAGUUACGUUUUCUCCACUUUUUAAUUUUUUUGGGACAACAUUGAGAAUCUCUUGAUGGGUUUCAUGUGGAAAUUAGCAUAUGAUUUUGCAGAGAUUUAAUAUUUCAGUUUUGUCUACGUUUUCAAAAAUGAAAUUUAAUUUUUUAAGUAUUAUUGAAUGUUUGUGAACAAAUUGCCCAAAUCAAACAUCUGCUCUGCACUUGAGUGUAUUUAUGGGUUUCCAGUUUCAUAUCAUGGACUCAGAUUUGAAUUGUUUAGAUUCUCCCCAUCUUCGUGUGAAUUGUAUUUCAAGAUUUUGUUCAUUGGAUUCAAUUCAUGUUGAAUGAAAAUUAACCUUACUUCGUUCUUCUUAAUGGAAAGUAGAAACAUGAAAGUUGUGAAUUUUGAUGUGGAUCAAUUUAUGAAAGACAUGGAAUCAGUAAUGAGGCACCGUGAUUUAAAAGAUACUGGUAGCGAUCUUGAUCUCGAGGAAGAGCCCUUCUCAGACAUGGAUUUUGUAAUUUCUGAAUUACUGCUUGUAUAUGAGCCAACUGAUUUGAUUUGAUGUAGAUACAAAUUAUUGUAUUAAUUUAGUGGUUUUACAAUUACUUAUUGAUGGCUCUAUUAGUUGACAAUAAAUUUUGAUUUGUUACAUAUGGACACAUACAAAAGGCAGUCUCACUAGCUGAUUUAUGUUGCUGUGCAAAUAUCACUAGGAGAUGAAAAGGCAACCUACCUUUUUCAGUCUUCCUUUCUGAUGCCAUUUGUCGUUAUUGCUAGUUUCCUAUUAUAGAACCUGAUCUUGGUGACUUGGUCACACAAAACUCAACCUUACAAGAGAAGGUUUGGAAGCAAUUGAGAGAAUAACGACUCCUAUUGCAGCUAUUGCUGUAAGUUGUAGAAUAAUAUUCAUCAAAGUGUCGAUUUGCAAUUUCUUAUUUAAUUAAUUCCUAAUGCAUGUCUGAAUUAGUCAAUCCUUGCAUUGAAGGCUGUAAUUGGGUUGUAAUAACCUAUAGUGUUUUCUUCAAUGGGGAGGAGGAAAUGAUUUCUGCAAGUGGGAAGGGGUUAAAAAAUGCAUGAAUAGAAGGGUCAUCAAGCUCAUGGUUGAAAGAGUAAAUUUGACUGGCACACAGGGUGGGAAAAGCCUAAAUCAGUUGGAUCAGCUUAGGGUUUUAUGGUUUUAAAAAAAACUCAUUAUCUCAAUCAAUUCCACAACUCUCUGGCCUUGUAAAUCUGAAAUCUCUUUACCUCAAUGAUAAUAAGCUGUCCAGCGAAAUACUGGUAGGUCUCAGUCUUACACCACCUGAAAGUAGUGUUUCUUUUUGGUAAUAGACUAUCAGGUCACAUUCUUCUGUCUUUUAUUGCUCUGAGCAGAUUGUUAGCGAUCAUAUCAGGAUGUGAUGAAAUUAAGUCAUUUUAGUUAGCCGACUUCUUUCAUCAUUUUAGUCAUUAUAAUCAUUUUAGGAUUAAAUAUGAUGUACAUAUGACAUCCAUUUUAGUAUACUCCUUUCAUUAUUUUAGUCGGUUCAAUGAUAAAAGAAGUCGAAUUCUUUUGUCAUUUUAGUGGGCUUAUUGAUUAAAGAAGCCGUCUCACAUUUAGCUCUUGUUUGAUCUCUAUUAUUUUCAAGAUACAUUUCUCCAUCUCUUCUUUUUAAUCGCAGUUUCUUCAAUAAAAUAACAUUAAGUAAACCAAUUUUUUUUUUCAUUUUUAACCACACAUUCUCCAUUCUAUUUCAAAAUGGAUUCUUAUAAUAAAAUGGGGGCUCAAACACGAUCUUAAUUAAACAUUUUAUAGGUUGUAAAAUCACAGAGUAUUUCACCAUUUUGUUCCUCUUUAUCCCUCUAGCACAUCCACUUUAUGUAUAGCAGAGGAAUUCAUUUCAAUAGGCUUAAUGAUAAAGAAGGGUAUUUGAUUCUAUCUCCUUAUCUAAUUCAUCUUUUGGAUCAGGUUAUGAAUUCAAGGAAGAUGAUAUAUUGUUAUAUGUGAUUUUGAUUGUUUACAUCCAAGUACAACAAGUAGGCUGCAUAUGGCCACUCAAAACUUGAUAAUAUACUCCAUGCUAAUGAGCUGGCGAGACGAUUAAAAGUACUCAGUUCGACGUGCAAUCUGAACAAGAUUCAUUGUCCACCGUAUGAUUUUCGUUAUUAUUUAUUCUUUUAUUCUUUAUUUUUUUAGCUGUUGUUUUCAUUGAAGUGCACUAUUUAUUUUAUAUUGACUAGCAUGAAGGGGAUUACAAAAACGGUUUGUCUAUAACAAAGACAAAAAUAGAUAAAAAAGAACAACCAAAGUGUAAACUAACUUGAGGAAAUCUAGACUUCCUUAUAUUUUGAGAUGUAGAUUGUUCACCUAAGCCUCAAAGUUUUCAAUUCUGGACAAAUAGAACGACUUGUUUUCCUCAAAAUGUUUUCUCAAAUCAAAAAAUUGACUUCUUUCUUUGAAUGUAGCUUCGAAUUCCAAAACAUGAGCCUCCAAUUUAGAAUUUUUUACUUUCAGUUCCCCAGUUUCGUUCGACUUGCACUCAAUUUGCUCCUCUAAUUUCUUCUUUGUGUUCAUUGUUUUUCAGUCUCAGACUUCCAUUUUCAACCUGGCCCUCUUAACUCUUUCAUAAGCAACAACAGUUUCCCUUAUCAACCAAUCUUCCUUUUAACAAGACAGAUGAAUCCAACAAUAUUUGUUGAAGGAGAUAUCUAGAAGAGGUGUCCUCUUGCAAUGUAUUUGCUGUGAAGUUAGACUAUUGACUAAUUGUCGAUGUAACUUGAUCUAGCUGGUUUUCUCACUUUUGCUCCUAUGUUCGAUAUUCUCUCAACUUCAACAAGUAAUUCUUUUUUGGAUUCUUGACAUGUGAGCUUCUCAAAUUUUCUUAUUUUUAAUACACUAUCGUUGGUGCUGGUGCGUGACAUUUUUGUCUUUAAGGUUUCAUGGUGGUUUGAUUAUGUGAAAAUAAUACAAUUGCAGUGCCAAUGGAGUAGCUCUUUAUUUUGCCCCUUCUUCACCCUCUACCUUUUGAUUACAGUUUACAGAGGUGUGAUUAAAUUUUGUGCAUUUAUUAUCUAAUGUAACUUUACGAAUUCAUUCAUUUACUGGUAAUGUUUCUCAAAGCAAUUUCAUGUGUAACAUGCAAUUUCUUAUAUUCUUAUGAUGAUUUUUCUUUAAAUUCAUGGAGUAGCAAGGAACAAGAAUGUAAAUAUCAAUUUGAAUCAGGAAAACAUCACGAUUAAUGGUGUUGUAGAAUAAGGAGAAAUGCACCAAGAUUCAAUAUAUGCAGGAGAAACUAAUAAUUUUAAGUAAGAAUUGGAGAAAUAAUAGUGAAAGACUAUUGUCUUUUAGGUUGGAGACUAUUUCUACACCAAAAAAUUGAUUAAUUAAUUAACAACACUUAUAAUUUUCAUUUCUACUACUUCAUUUUGAGUUUUAGAUUAUGUUAUUCUGAUAACUUCCCUUAUAUAUUUCAUCUCAAACAGAUUCAAUCUUGAUUUUUGAGGAUCAUUUGUAUCUCUGGAGAGUCCAUUGCUCAUGUUUUUCAAUUUUUUAAAGUCUAUAAAAGGAUACAGAGGUUUUGAUGAAAAUUAAAGGAUAUAUGUGGCUCAAAAUGGCUGCAUUAUUCUGUGAUCUGAUCUUUAUCUGGUUGUUUUAUCAAUAAGGAGAAAAAGUUCUAGGUCUUUUUGAAAAUCAUCUCAAUAGGUUUCAAGCUGUGAAACAACUAUCGACAUCUGCAACAACAAAAAGUAUGAUUAUCUAUUAAAUUUUCACUUCCAUACGGAUGAGCAGGGUCAACACCACUGUCAUCUAUGAAGCGAACUGAAUCGGGCCUGACAUCUGAGGUAUGCUUAAGUUUGAAUGUUCCAUUUGUUUUAUUCAUAUCCUAUCACCGUAGGCAUUCGAAUAAGAACAUAUUGUUUUCGUAGAUACUUUUCUAACUACUACCUAUGAGUUCUAAAAUAUUCAAAAUAAAAAUAAAAAGAGUUCUUCGACAUUCAACGAAUGAUUUCCUUUUAAUUUUAUUUCUGUCUUUUCAAUGUCCUUUUGUCCAUAUUUCAUGUGGUUUCUUUCUCCAAUAUUACCUUAGUGUUUGAAUUGAGAAAACAUUAUUUUCUUCAGAAGCUCCUGAUUACCACUUUAAUUUUAAGUUCAACGAGAGCAUAUCGAUAUGGUGAGAUGAUUAUCUAUCGUCUUGUCAAGUUCUUUGUGAAUCAUCCUAACAUAUAAUGCCACUUAUUGGCGAUGAUGUGCAUUCCAAUUUGUGGAUUACAUGUUUUAAUGCACACAUUAGAGUAAUAGUUGCAUAGUUUCUUUCAUGGAUGCAUCAAAUUGCAUUUAUCCUGCUUCCAUUUUCGUGUAGGUUAUUUCAUAUGAAUAAUAGAUUAUUCUUGUUCUUACAAAGUACAUUUUACAUGAAAAUAUGCAGUUUUCUUAUUUCGAAACUUAAUAAGUUGUUCUAUGUUCUUCUACCUUGAUGAAGAAUGGAAAGGAGUUUCUUUUUUCAGACACUAGGAUUCAUUAAAGAUAUAACAAUGACAAUGGUAAGUUCCGUCAUUAAUAUUUAUGGAUUUUUUUAUUGCUUUAUUUUCUUAAUUAUUCAUAUAAAUCAAUUUUCUUCUUUUGUAUCUUUUCAUGUCUUGAUCAAUAUUGGUUGAGAUGAAUCAUCAAUUAGCCUGUGUCCAAAAGAUGGUGGCUGUGGGAAGCUAAACAAUAUUGAUCAUAUUUUCUCAACACUGCCCCAUGUUUCACGACAGUGAAUUUCCAGCUUCAUUUUACAUAUCCACAUUAUUUUAGUUUGUGUACCGAAAGUAUCCAUUAUCAUUGUCUGCUAUCCUCUUUUCGAUGGAAUUGUUGCCUUUGAUAAGACCUUCAACUAUUGACCAGCAAAGUGGUUAGAGAGUUCUAGUUUGGUAGUAAUUUAUAUUUUGUAUCAUUCUGAGGAAUCAAGAUUUUUAUGGGUUGGGAUAUAAGCAUGGCCAUCAAGCUCCAUGUUGAUACUUUUGAUUCUAUUAGUUUUUAUCAUAGGCAUAAUAUAGUACUAAAGAAGCGAAGAAGUUGGACUAAUUCUUGUGUUCUAAUUGUUCAUUUGGAGAUGAUUCGAAAAUAUCUUUGAACUCAAUCUGUGGAUCACCAACUAGUGACGGCAAGGUAUAAGUGCAUUACUAUAACUUGCAAGUUGUAGCAUUUGGAUUGCUGUGUAUUUUGUUAUUUAAAAUUCUAAAAAAAUGGAUUGUAUUGGCGGUCACAAUACUUAGAAAUCUUGUUGAAUGUGUCUUUAGCACUUCUGAAUUUUUGUUGGAGGUAACAGCUAGGUUUCUGAUACAUCAUAACUUCACUUCUAUGGGAAGAAUGGAUUUUGGUUGAACCUAACUUUCUCUCAUUCCAAACAUUGUUUAGAUGUUCUUUUUGAUUAUUUUAUAAUUUCUAUCAUAUGUUGAUCAAGUUUAAAGGUUAUCUAUGAUUCACUUAUAAUCGUUCUUUCGCUAAUAGCUAUGCCUAAUAAGCUUUUGUUAUAUCCUCUUCUUAAAGGACUGUAGUGUUGGAGAUAUAGGAUUAGCAAAGCCUAAGUAACAUUUGAAUGAUACUAGGUUCUUUCUACAAGCAGUUGAUGUUGGAAGAACUAUCAAAUGAUGUACCCUUGCUGCCUAUUCAGAUAUUACUAAUGUCUCAUUAGAAGUCGUGGAAUUUUUCGCUGCAAGUCGCUUGCAACUCUAUCAUUAGCAUCAAUUUCGUUCACUUCUCCAUAAUUAAUUGUAACUAUUUUGAUUGCGUGGUAUAUGAUUUUCCCCUCUUUGAUUUUUAUAUCUUCGGGUAUAAGAGAAGAGAGAAGGGAAAACUUGUCUAAGCAUAUUAUUCUCUGGAUCUUGAAGAGCUCGUGAGGGAGAAUAAGAGGAUGCUUGGUAAAUACAUCCAAGAAAUCGAUAGGGAAAGACACGGUUAACAAGCACGGGAAAAGAAACUGAUCGUGGGGAUUAAAAAAAUGCAAAGUUUCUUACACUUUGUGACUAUUUUCUUCCACAUGUCCUACUUGCUUUAUUGUCCAGGCUAAUCCAAUCAAUAUUUGAUUUUAGCUUCAUCUGUCUUUGUUAUGUUUUCC
rnacentral:lncRNA from 1 species